GUCCAUGGUGAGGACCAGGGCCUGGUGGAUGUGGCUGCAGGUCCUUGGCAGUCAGGCAGCUCCUGCAGCAGCGACUCUGAGGUGAAGACGUCUGGAUGGGAGGAGACACAAGACGAGCUGCCGCCUGGAGACCUUCAUCCUGCUGCCGAGUCUCAUCACGAUCAGUUCAGUUCAGCGCUUCACAUUCCAAUUUCUCUGUUUUAAAGCUUCUGAGUGAUGGGACGCCAUGUUUGCUGUGUUUGCUUUUCAUGUAUCAGACUCUGAUCAGAAUUUCCUCCUGAUAAACAACAUAAAACUGCCUUGUGUCUAAUAAAAGCAAGUCAUCUCUA